rnacentral:lncRNA from 10 species
AGGGAUCUUCUGCCCUUGGUCCUAAGUGCCACUAUCUGUGCUGAGUUUUUCAAAGGUCAGAGCAGAUUGAACCAUUGUGGUUUCAUUUUCCCUGAUUUUGAUUUUUCUUAUGGGGAACCUGUGUGGCUGCAUUCAAGGUGACUCGAAGAAGCCUUCCAAAAAGCAUGUGAAAAGGAAGCCCUACUCUACUACCAAGGUGACUUCAGGGAGCACAUUCAAUGGUACGUAUUCUGGAAUCACUCACUGGUUGUUAGAAAAGGAUUCUACAGGAAAUCUGGAGCUUAACUGCUGGCUUUUGUCUGGAGAGCCUCCAUGAUCCAAGACAUCUGGUGGGAAUGAGGAUGUAGGGUAUAGUAAAAGAAACUGGUUUUCCUGGUGACAUACUCUUUUUAUCUAUGUAUAGUUUCUGGGAACAUGUUCACAUUAGGUUGUGUGUGGGUAUGUGUGUAUUAGGGCGGGGGUGGGGUGAGGUGGUCUGUGUGCAAGUCUGCAUGAUUUGCUUGUGAAUGUGUGUCUAUGUGUGUUUCCCCUAGGAAAAAAAUGUUGUGUUUACCCAGCACAACUCUCAGUGCCAUU